GAUGAACGCUGGCGGCGUGCCUAAUACAUGCAAGUCGAGCGAACAGACGAGGAGCUUGCUCCUCUGACGUUAGCGGCGGACGGGUGAGUAACACGUGGAUAACCUACCUAUAAGACUGGGAUAACUUCGGGAAACCGGAGCUAAUACCGGAUAAUAUAUUGAACCGCAUGGUUCAAUAGUGAAAGACGGUUUUGCUGUCACUUAUAGAUGGAUCCGCGCCGCAUUAGCUAGUUGGUAAGGUUACGGCUUACCAAGGCAACGAUGCGUAGCCGACCUGAGAGGGUGAUCGGCCACACUGGAGCUGAGACACGGUCCAGACUCCUACGGGAGGCAGCAGUAGGGAAUCUUCCGCAAUGGGCGAAAGCUUGACGGAGCAACGCCGCGUGAGUGAUGAAGGUCUUCGGAUCGUAAAACUCUGUUAUUAGGGAAGAACAAAUGUGUAAGUAACUAUGCACGUCUUGACGGUACCUAAUCAGAAAGCCACGGCUAACUACGUG
rnacentral:rRNA from 1 species